rnacentral:rRNA from 1 species
CCUACGGGGGGCAGCAGUGGGGAAUAUUGCGCAAUGGGCGAAAGCCUGACGCAGCGACGCCGCGUGAGGGAUGAAGGUCUUCGGAUCGUAAACCUCUGUCAGCAGGGAAGAACGGUCACUGUGCUAAUCAGCAGUGAAUUGACGGUACCUGCAAAGGAAGCACCGGCUAACUCCGUGCCAGCAGCCGCGGUAAUACGGAGGGUGCGAGCGUUAAUCGGAAUUACUGGGCGUAAAGCGCUCGUAGGCGGUAUGUCAAGUCAAGGGUGAAAUCCCCGCGCUCAACGUGGGAACUGCCUUUGAAACUGGCAGACUGGAGUGUGUGAGAGGAUAGUGGAAUGCCAGGUGUAGGAGUGAAAUCCGUAGAUAUCUGGAGGAACAUCAGUGGCGAAGGCGACUAUCUGGCACAUAACUGACGCUGAGGAGCGAAAGCGUGGGUAGCAAACAGGAUUAGAUACCCUAGUAGUC